GAUGAACGCUGGCGGCGUGCCUAAUACAUGCAAGUCGAGCGAACGGACGAGAAGCUUUCUUCUCUGAUGUUAGCGGCGGACGGGUGAGUAACACGUGGAGAACCUACCUAUAAGACUGGGAUAACUUCGGGAAACCGGAGCUAAUACCGGCUGAUAUUUUGAACCGCAUGGUUCAAAAGUGAAAGACGGUCUUGCUUUCACUUAUAGAUGGAUCCGCGCUGCAUUAGCUAGUUGGUAAGGUAACGGCUUACCAAGGCAACGAUGCAUAGCCGACCUGAGAGGGAGAUCCAGCAACACGGAAACUGGGACAGGUCCCGAACCCUAACGGAGGGCGCAGUAGGGAAAUAUCCGCAAUGGGGGACAGCCUUGAGGAGGAAAGCCGGGUGAGAGAUGAAGGUCUUUGGAGUGUUAAACUCUGUUAUGAGGGAAGAACAUAUGUGUAAGUAACUGUGCACAUCUUGACGGUACCUAGUAAGAGAGGCACGGCUAACUUCGUG
rnacentral:rRNA from 1 species